GUUCCUACGGGAGGCAGCAGUGAGGAAUAUUGGUCAAUGGGCGGAAGCCUGAACCAGCCAAGUCGCGUGAGGGAAGAAGGCCCUGCGGGUCGCAGACCUCUUUGGACGGGGAGCAAGGCCGCCGACGUGUCGGCGGAAGGAGAGUACCCGUAGAACAAGCAUCGGCUAACUCCGUGCCAGCAGCCGCGGUAAUACGUAGGUGGCAAGCGUUAUCCGGAUUUACUGGGUGUAAAGGGCGUGUAGGCGGGACUGCAAGUCAGAUGUGAAAACCACGGGCUCAACCUGUGGCCUGCAUUUGAAACUGU
rnacentral:rRNA from 1 species